rnacentral:tRNA from 1 species
GGGCGUAUAGCUCAGUGGUUAGAGCACUCGCCUUACAAGCGAGCGGCCGUAGGUUCGAGUCCUACUACGCCCA